rnacentral:rRNA from 1 species
UAGGGAAUCUUCGGCAAUGGGGGCAACCCUGACCGAGCAACGCCGCGUGAGUGAAGAAGGUUUUCGGAUCGUAAAGCUCUGUUGUAAGUCAAGAACGAGUGUGAGAGUGGAAAGUUCACACUGUGACGGUAGCUUACCAGAAAGGGACGGCUAACUACGUGCCAGCAGCCGCGGUAAUACGUAGGUCCCGAGCGUUGUCCGGAUUUAUUGGGCGUAAAGCGAGCGCAGGCGGUUUGAUAAGUCUGAAGUUAAAGGCUGUGGCUCAACCAUAGUUCGCUUUGGAAACUGUCGAACUUGAGUGCAGAAGGGGAGAGUGGAAUUCCAUGUGUAGCGGUGAAAUGCGUAGAUAUAUGGAGGAACACCGGUGGCGAAAGCGGCUCUCUGGUCUGUAACUGACGCUGAGGCUCGAAAGCGUGGGGAGCGAACAGGAUUAGAUACCCUGGUAGUCCACGCCGUAAACGAUGAGUGCUAGGUGUUGGGUCCUUUCCGGGAUUCAGUGCCGCAGCUAACGCAUUAAGCACUCCGCCUGGGGAGUACGACCGCAAGGUUG